rnacentral:rRNA from 1 species
UAGAAUUCCGCGUGUAGCGGUGAAAUGCGUAAAGAUGUGGAGGAAUACCGGUGGCGAAGGCGGCCUUCUGGACAGAUACUGACGCUGAGAUGCGAAAGCGUGGGGAGCAAACAGGAUUAGAUACCCUGGUAGUCCACGCUGUAAACGAUGUCGAUUUGGAGUUUGUUGCCUAGAGUGAUGGGCUCCGAAGCUAACGCGAUAAAUCGACCGCCUGGGGAGUACGGCCGCAAGGUUAAAACUCAAAUGAAUUGACGGGGGCCCGCACAAGCGGUGGAGCAUGUGGUUUAAUUCGAUGCAACGCGAAGAACCUUACCUGGUCUUGACAUCCACAGAAUCUUGCAGAGAUGCGAGGGUGCCUUCGGGAACUGUGAGACAGGUGCUGCAUGGCUGUCGUCAGCUCGUGUUGUGAAAUGUUGGGUUAAGUCCCGCAACGAGCGCAACCCUUAUCCUUUGUUGCCAUUGGUUCGGCCGGGAACUCAAAGGAGACUGCCGUUGAUAAAGCGGAGGAAGGUGGGGACGACGUCAAGUCAUCAUGGCCCUUACGACCAGGGCUACACACGUGCUACAAUGGCGUAUACAAAGGGAGGCGACCUCGCGAGAGCAAGCGGACCUCAUAAAGUACGUCUAAGUCCGGAUUGGAGUCUGCAACUCGACUCCAUGAAGUCGGAAUCGCUAGUAAUCGUGAAUCAGAAUGU